rnacentral:rRNA from 1 species
GGGUCAGUAGGUCGGUCGUGCCACUGGUAUGAACUGGUUUUACUGAUUCCUCCCUCUUGAAGAACUGUAAUGCCAUUUAUUUGGUGUUGUGGGGAAUUAGGACUGUUACUUUGAAAAAAUUAGAGUGUUUAAAGCAGGCUCACGCUUGAAUACAUUAGCAUGGAAUAAUGAAAUAGGACGUUUGAUUCUAUUUUGUUGGUUUCUAGGAUCGACGUA